UUCUGCGGAAGGUGCUUUACCCACCACACCGUGGUCGUGUUGCGGCGCGGAGGCGUUCCCCACAAACUGCACAUUCGAUAAAGUUUAUACCACGGGAUGUCAUCAAGCGAUAGUGACGUGGUUGUAUCGUUACGAGACAGUGAUAUACGUCGCGCUCGCAUCGUUCCACGUGCUAUUGUCGCUCUGCUCACUCCUAAGAAGAGCGCUCAGUUCGUCUCGCUCUUACACCUAGCGCUCGCAGCGCCGCUCUGGCGGGAGACCUCGUGCGUGGCGGGCGCGUGUCUCGCCGAGCAUCGAACCUGUGACCGAAGACGUGCUCAUGGUCGUGCUGGGCCGAGGCAGGCUCGGCUGGGUUGAGAAGACGUGAAAACAGUGCUGUAGUUAAAAAUACCUGCCCGCGGUAUCCAGUUGUAUACUCUUCUCGGACCUUCGUAACUUUAAGUUACUUAACUAACUAUGUCUAUAAGUUUUCUACUUUAAUUAUAACCAUAACAACAUACAUAACU
rnacentral:lncRNA from 1 species